rnacentral:rRNA from 1 species
UGGGGAAUAUUGGACAAUGGGCGCAAGCCUGAUCCAGCCAUGCCGCGUGUGUGAAGAAGGCCUUCGGGUUGUAAAGCACUUUUGUCCGGAAAGAAAAGCAUUCGGUUAAUACCCGGGUGUCCUGACGGUACCGGAAGAAUAAGCACCGGCUAACUUCGUGCCAGCAGCCGCGGUAAUACGAAGGGUGCAAGCGUUACUCGGAAUUACUGGGCGUAAAGCGUGCGUAGGUGGUGAGUUAAGUCUGUCGAUGCAAAGGCCCCGGGCUCAACCUGGGGAAUGGCGAUGGAUACUGGCUCGCUAGAGUGCGGUAGAGGAGAGUGGAAUUCCCCGGUGUAGCAGUGAAAUGCGUAGAGAUCGGGAGGAACAUCAGUUGCGAAGGCGGCUCUCUGGACCAGCACUGACACUGAGGCACGAAAAGCGUGGGGAGCAAACA